rnacentral:lncRNA from 1 species
GUAUGGUGCCCGCACGAUGCGGCGGGGGAGACAUUUUGCAUUACGGCACUUUGCAUUGCCACUUGGUUCUGAUGUAAAUAAUCACCACAUGGAACUGAUAAGAAGGACCAUUUGCAAGUCGAGGAACAAUCUACUUUGAAUCAUGGUAUCUGUAACAAAAAAACGACAUGUUUUGCAAUGAAAAUUUUGGUAUAGGUCUAAAGUGCAAUGAAGAAAGUCAAACAUAAACUAAAUGUUAUCUCAUGAUCAACACAAUAGUUGACAAACCAGCGCUCAGUUAAAAUAGCAUUAGAAAUAGACAUGACCUGGUUGUAUUACUACAUAUUACCAGUUUUAGAAGUUGAAAAAAAAUAUGUAAAGUAACUCAAAACAAAAUUUU